rnacentral:lncRNA from 1 species
UUAUUUUGCUAAUUAGUCAAAAAUCAUUGGCUUUCCCGUGGCUUCUUCCUGCUGAGCAAUCAUUUGAUCUUGCUUAUGUUGACAAACACACACGUCACCAAUUCUGCCUCAUUUAUCGUUUGACAGGGACAGUGUUUGCUUCUUCGUGUGUAAAGAAAGGAAAACUAAGUGUAAGCAGAUACCUCAGACUCAUUUUCUUGCAAAUAAAUAAAUAAAUAAAUAAAUAAAUAAAUAAAUAAAAUACUGCAACGUGUUGUUUUCUAACAAACUGGCUUUUGUGUGCGCUGGUAAAUGACAACAUGGAUUUUAUAUCCCUUAUGAACAAACCAAAUCGGAACGUAAGCAAAAUUGGUAUACUUCAUAAUGAGAGAGGAAGCAACUGAUAACCUAGCAAAAGACUGAAAAAUCUUAUUAAAUAGUCAGAGACGUGGAAUGUUCUUUUUUCUAUUUGAAUUAAUAAUAUUGAACAUACAUUUGGCUAGAAAAAGAGAAAAAGGACUUUCUUGUCUCUAUUUGGUUAAAAUAUAAGAAAAAUGUUACAUUCUGUGUAAGACAGACUUUCAAAUUCAGUGUGACGAUCAUUUGAAAUUCCAAUCAGGCUGCUUAGAUUCUGUUGCUAAAAAAAAAGAAGAAGAAGAAGGCAGUAUCUAAAAUAAAGUAUCUAAUAACUACUUGGGGAAAAGUAUAUUUGCUUCUAUAGAAGAAUGCAUCAGAUAGAGCUUAGCAAAAUUUUGUGGUUUUGGUAGCCCUGGCCAGUUAAUAGGAUCAAAUGCUUGGUUGACUGAUUGAUUAUUUAUGCAGAAAUCACCAUUAUGAUAAGAAAAAAGAAGUCGCCUCAAAGGUUCCAAAUAGGCGAGCGUGGAUAAAAACGAAUGCCUCCAAAUUGAGCCUGGAAACCAACUUGACAUCAAUUUGUAAAUUCAAACACCGAUACCGCGUCAGAGAGGAAGGCUUCUUCGGUUCUGCUUCUGGCAAACGCCGCAGGUCGCCUGACCUACGUGGAGUUCUACGUCGUUCUACCUUCGGACGAGUCCAUGCUCAGGCAGGCCCUGACCUGACCCCGCUCCCCGAUCUGGGCGCCCUCUGCAUGCGGGUACCCCGCGAGGCAGCCUCCCCGCCUUUCCUCUGACACCUGGUUCCAGAGGGACCCGGGAGGAGAGAAGGGGGUGGGCCUGGCGGGAAUCGCUCAGGGUCACCUCACUGCCCCCUGCGUUUGCUGAACGCCAGCAACGUACCAGCCUCCGCCGAGCUGGCAGAGAUGAAGCGGGUGUAACUCCAGGCCCCAAGGGCCUCUGGUGGGAAAGAUGGGCAAAAACCCAAAACAUCAGUCAGCAUGUGGGAGAGAUGCUAAAAAUAAAAGAAUAAAUGACCAAGUGAAAAGGCUCAGAUGAUAGGCAAG